rnacentral:rRNA from 1 species
AUUGAACGCUGGCGGCAUGCCUUACACAUGCAAGUCGAACGGUGACAGGUCUUCGGAUGCUGACGAGUGGCGAACGGGUGAGUAAUACAUCGGAACGUGCCUAGUAGUGGGGGAUAACUACUCGAAAGAGUGGCUAAUACCGCAUGAGAUCUACGGAUGAAAGCAGGGGAUCGCAAGACCUUGUGCUACUAGAGCGGCCGAUGGCAGAUUAGGUAGUUGGUGGGAUAAAAGCUUACCAAGCCGACGAUCUGUAGCUGGUCUGUGAGGACGAUCAGCCACACUGGGACUGAGACACGGCCCAGACUCCUACGGGAGGCAGCAGUGGGGAAUUUUGGACAAUGGGCGAAAGCCUGAUCCAGCAAUGCCGCGUGCAGGAUGAAGGCCUUCGGGUUGUAAACUGCUUUUGUACGGAACGAAAAGCCCCGGGUUAAUACCCUGGGGUCAUGACGGUACCGUAAGAAUAAGCACCGGCUAACUACGUGCCAGCAGCCGCCGUAA